rnacentral:rRNA from 1 species
GAUGAACGCUAGCGGCAGGCCUAAUACAUGCAAGCCGAACGGCAAGUUUGAUAGCAAUAUUGGACCUAGAGUGGCGCAAGGGUGCGUAACACGUAUGCAACCUGCCCGCGACAGGAGGAUAGCUCCCCGAAAGGGGAAUUAACCCUCCAUAACACCAUGAGAAGGCAUCUGAUUAUGGUUAAACCGCAAGGGGUCGCGGAUGGGCAUGCGGUUGAUUAGCUAGUUGGCGGGGUAAAGGCCCACCAAGGCGGUGAUCAAUAGGGGUUCUGAGAGGAAGGUCCCCCACACUGGCACUGGGAUACGGGCCAGACUCCUACGGGAGGCAGCAGUAGGGAAUAUUGGGCAAUGGUUGCAAGACUGAUCCAGCCAUGCCGCGUGCAGGAAGAAGGCCUUCUGGGUCGUAAACUGCUUUUUCCUGUGGAUAAAAUACCCGUGCGCGGGGAAUUGAAGGUAACAGGGGAAUAAGCCACGGCUAACUACGUG